CAGGAGCAGCACGGAGGGAGCAGCCCGAGGAGGAGCAGCAGCCGGGGAAGGAGCGUUGGGGGGUUCCACGGCGAGCCCGCAGCUCGGCUGGGCCCGGCAGCGUCGCAUUGCCCCGCGUCCCGCAGGAUUUCCCAUUCCCAAACCUCAUCUGGAUGGAGAAGGCUGUGAGGAAGAGGAAGAUGCCCCAGGGCACUCAGGCAGGGAAGGAGCUGAGGAUGGAGACCAGGGAGGACAAAUCCUCACAGCAGAACCUGGUGGAAGAGGCCAUUUUGAGCGGCUCCAGGGCACAGGAAUCCACCGAGGAGGAAAAGCCC